GGGACUACAGGCGCCCGCCACCACGCCUGGCUAAUUUUUUUUUUUUUGUAUUUUUUAGUACAGACGAGGUUUCACCGUGUUACCCAGGAUGGUCUCGAUCUCUUGACCUCGUGAUCCGCCCCCCCCUUAGCCUCCCAGAGUGCUGGGAUUACAGGCGUGAGCCACUGUGCCCGGCCCCAGGAAGGAUUCUUGAAGUAUCGGUGGAUGCCCUCAUGGGAGGACCAGUGACUCUCACGAAAAGCAGCCUUUGUUGUCCAAGUGAAUAAAUAAUGCCUUUCAUGUAAGCAUGUGAGAAAUACAGGCAGAUGCUGUAGCGAUGGCUCAGAUGGUGACGUUUCUUACAGACUUUACCAAGUCCACGGUUUCUUCUCAUCCUGCCUUUUCCUGGAUGCCCGUGUUAAGUUCCCCGCUCCCACCCCUAAUGACAGAUGACUUCUCCCACCGACUUUCCGUAUCCGACAUUAUGCUCUCGGGUUUGAUGGUUCAAGAUGACUUUUUCUCUAUGAAUGAAUAAGUCAAUGAUGAUUAACAGUGGUGGUAAUGAGAGGUACCUCCUCACACAGAUCCCUCUCUGCCUUGCUAGAACUUGCCUUACCCUGGUGAGGGUGCUCUGAAAAGGCAUGGACGUGGCUGCUGGUCCUGCCUCUGGACCCACAGUGACUAGGGUCUCUCUGUUUUCUGACAUGUCCAGGGAGGGCUGGGCAGAGCCUCAUGGGUUAGAGGUGUGGGUCACGUCUCUGCUGUCCAUGCUGGGAGUGAGUCAUUGACAAGAGGGCCAUGGAGAGGGCCUUUUCGGAAGGGCGGUUGGAAGGAACCUUCUGGAAGGGUGGCGUGGUGAUCGUAGCCUGAGAGGCUGGAUAUGAGGAAAUAGCAGGUGUGGCAGGAGGGGGAUUCUUAGGGCCCAUCUGGUGCUGGGGAGUAGGACUGACAGACCUGGUCCAGACAGGCCAGCAGGAAGUCAAGACUGAAGAGAGGGUUCCAGAGACCUGGGGAGGGGUCAAAAAGUGAGAUAAGUGGGGCACCCACAGAAGGAGAGAUGGUCUUGGAGCUCACAAGCAGCGGCGGGCACCAAUGUCUGUGCAGUCAUGUUCAGACACUGUUGGUGUUGCCGAGACCACGGAAAACACAAGCCCUGUGUGAAAGUGAACUGACCCCCACACCAUGCCCAGUGCCCUUUGGCAUCUGCUGUAGUAGGAGGAGGCUGCAGCCUGUGCAAACCCCAGGAAGGGGCUCGAUUCUUGCAGAUGGCACCAACUACAGAGGAAUGGAGCUGGUGAUGGACACUGGUAGGCAGGACUUCUCAAGUAUGGUUCCAGGUGAUAAACGGGGCUGUGUGGAUGAACAUCUAUUAAUGUAGACAUUAUCUAUUUUAAGGUGACUUGAAAUACUGUUUAUUUUAUUAUUGCAAGAUGUGGAAAUUUACUUUAAAAUAAAUGUAUGGGGCCGGGAGUGGUGGCUCACGCCUGUAAUCCCAACACUUUGGUAAGGUGAGGCAGACAGAUCCCUUGAGGCCAGGAGUUUGAGACCAGCCCGGCCAACAGGGCAAAACCCCAUCUCUACUAAAAAUAUAAAAAUUAGCCGGGCGUGGUGGCCUGUGCUUGUAAUCCCAGCUACUUGGGAGUCUGAGGCAGGAGAAUUGCUUGAAUCUGGGAGGUGGAAGUCGCGCUGAGCCAAGAUCAUGCCACUGCACUCCAGCCUGGGCGACACAGCAAGACUCUGUCUCAAAAAAAAUAAAAAUAGGCAUUUCUCUUUUUUUGAGACAGAGUCUUGCUCUGUUGCUCAGGAUGGAGUGCAGUGGCAUGAUCUCAGCUCACUGCAACCUCCACCUCCCAGGUUCAAGCGAUUCUCCUGCCUCAGCCUCCUGAGUAGCUGGGAUUGCAGGCGUCCACCACCACGCCUGGCUAAUUUUUUUAUUUUUAGUAGAGAUGGGGUUUCACCAUGUUGGCCAGGAUGGUCUCGAUCUCCUGACCUCGUGAUCCACCCGCCUCGACCUCCCAAAGUGCUGGGAUUACAGGCGUGAGCCACUGCGCUUGGCCUAAUUUUUGUAUUUUUUUUUUCCAAGAUGGAGUCUUGCUCUGUCACGCAGGCUAGGGUGCAGUGGCAUGAUCUCGGCUCACUGCAACUUCCGCCUCCCGGGUUCAAGCAAUUCUCCUGCCUCAGCCUCCCAAGUAGCUGGGAUUACAGGCACGUGCCACCAUGCCCGGCUAAUUUUUGUAUUUUUAGCGGAAAUGAGUUUUUGCCCUGUUGGCCAGGCUGGUCUCAAAUUAUAGAUCUUGGGUGAUCCGACCACCUCGGGUGAUCCGACUGCCUCGGCCUUUCAAAGUGCUGGGAUUACAGGUGUGAGCCACUAUGCCCGCCAAGAGCUCCAUGUUUUAAAAGGGAUCAUGUAGCUAGAUCAGCCCCCCCACACCCCCAGAUAAUCAUAUAGUCUAUUUUAAGUUCAACUAUGGGGCCAGGUAUGGUGGCUCAUGCCUAUAAUCUGAGAGCUUUGGAAGGCUGAGGCAGGAGGAUGACUUGAGGCCAGAAAUUUGAGACCAUCCUGGACAGCACAGCAAGACUCUGUCUCAAAAAAAAAAAAAAAAAAAAAAGGCGAGGUCUGGUGGCACGUGCCUGUUGUCCUAGCUACUGGGGAGGCUGAAGUGGGAGGGUCACUUGAGCCCAGGAGUUCUAGGUUGCAGGGAGCUAUGACUCUACCACUUUGCUCCAGCCUGGGUGACAGAGUGAGAUUGUCUCAAGAAAACAAAACUACGGCUGGUGCGGUGGCUCAUGCCUGUAAUCCCA
rnacentral:lncRNA from 10 species